GACUCGGUGGCGGGUGGUCCGCGUCUAUGCUUUCUGAGUAUGGUAUUCAAGUUUCAGGAGAAGACGCCUGUUCGAAUCAGGCUCGAGUCA